UACGGAAGGCAGCAGUGGGGAAUAUUGCACAAUGGGCGCAAGCCUGAUGCAGCCAUGCCGCGUGUAUGAAAAAGGCCUUCGGGUUGUAAAGUACUUUUCAGUCGUGAGGAAGGUGUUAAGGUUAAUAACCUUAGCAAUUGACGUUAGCGACAGAAGAAGCACCGGCUAACUCCGUGCCAGCAGCCGCGGUAAUACGGAGGGUGCGAGCGUUAAUCGGAAUUACUGGGCGUAAAGGGCACGCAGGCGGUUAAUUAAGUUGGAUGUGAAAUCCCCGGGCUUAACCUGGGAAUGGCAUUCAAGACUGGUUAGCUAGAGUCUUGUAGAGGGGGUAGAAUUCCAUGUGUAGCGGUGAAAUGCGUAGAGAUGUGGAGGAAUACCGGUGGCGAAGGCGGCCCCUGGACAAAGGACUGACGCUCAUGUGCGAAAGCGUGGGGAGCAAAC
rnacentral:rRNA from 1 species